AACGGGGUURKUUASAARCUWGAMUUCUAACUAACCUAGCGGCSGAYGGGUGAGUAACACGUAGGCAACCUGCCCACAAGACAGGGAUAACUACCGGAAACGGUAGCUAAUACCCGAUACAUCCUUUUCCUGCAUGGGAGAAGGAGGAAAGGCGGAGCAAUCUGUCACUUGUGGAUGGGCCUGCGGCGCAUUAGCUAGUUGGUGGGGUAAAGGCCUACCAAGGCGACGAUGCGUAGCCGACCUGAGAGGGUGAUCGGCCACACUGGGACUGAGACACGGCCCAGACUCCUACGGGAGGCAGCAGUAGGGAAUCUUCCGCAAUGGGCGAAAGCCUGACGGAGCAACGCCGCGUGAGUGAUGAAGGUUUUCGGAUCGUAAAGCUCUGUUGCCAGGGAAGAACGUCUUGUAGAGUAACUGCUACAAGAGUGACGGUACCUGAGAAGAAAGCCCCGGCUAACUACGUGCCAGCAGCCGCGGUAAUACGUAGGGGGCAAGCGUUGUCCGGAAUUAUUGGGCGUAAAGCGCGCGCAGGCGGCUCUUUAAGUCUGGUGUUUAAUCCCGAGGCUCAAYUUCGGGUCGCACUGGAAACUGGGGAGCUUGAGUGCAGAAGAGGAGAGUGGAAUUCCACKUGUAGYGGUGAAAUGCGUUAGAGAUGUGGAGGAACACCAGUGGCGAAGGCGACUCUCUUGGGCUGUAACUGACCGCUGACGCSCGAAAGCGUGGGGAGYAAACAGGGAUUAGAUACCCUGGUASUCCACGCCCGUAAACGAUGAAUGCUAGGUGUUAGGGGUUUCGMAUMCCCUUGGUGCCGAAKUUAACMMCAUUAARCAAUYCCGCYCUGGCGGARUUWCGGUUSGCCASAMUUGAAAMYUCAAAGGAAKUUGMCGGGG
rnacentral:rRNA from 1 species